GCGUCGGUGGUGCAACGGUUAGCACAUUCUCUCGGAAAGAGUAAGAUCUGGGUUCGAAUCCCGGCUGACGCA